UACGUAGGUGGCAAGCGUUGUCCGGAUUUACUGGGCGUAAAGGGCUUGUAGGCGGCCAACUAAGUCAGACGUGAAACCCCUCGGCUUAACCGGGGAACUGCGUCUGAUACUGGAUGGCUAGAGAUUGGGAGAGGGAUGCGGAAUUCCAGGUGUAGCGGUGAAAUGCGUAGAUAUCUGGAGGAACACCGGUGGCGAAGGCGGCAUCCUGGACCAACACUGACGCUGAGUGAGCGAAAGCCAGGGGAGCAAACGGG
rnacentral:rRNA from 1 species